AACCCAGGCUGGCUUAUCGCGUCUGCACCAGCAGAUGAGGAAAGUCCGGGCAGCAUAGAGCACCCUACUUCCUAACGGGAAGGCGGAUGGCUGGGAACGGCCAUUCGACAGACAGGGCAACAGAAAAUAUACCGCCCAGGUUAAUGAUUGAAUGAUUGAGUUUUGAAUGAUUGAAUAGGCUUGCGCCAGUUGUUUUUAUUCAAUCAUUCAAAACUCAAUCAUUCAAUCAUUAACCUGGGUAAGGGCGAACCGGUGGGGUAAGAGCCUACCGCCCGGUGGGUGACCAGCGGGGCACGGUAACCCUUAGGGGCUGAAAGACCAAAUAAGCAUCGGAUGUGCGGCUGCUCGUCGCCAGAAGCCGAAAGGCCAAGCCGAUGCGGGUAGGUCGAACGAGGUGUCGGGUGACCGGCAUCCCAGAUAAAUGAUAAGCCAUUCCAAUUUGGAAGGACAGAACCCGGCUUAUAGGUCUGGGUUGAAU
rnacentral:RNase_P_RNA from 2 species